UGCGGCGUGCUUAACACAUGCAAGUCGAGCGAUGAAGUUUCCUUCGGGAAACGGAUUAGCGGCGGACGGGUGAGUAACACGUGGGUAACCUGCCUCAUAGAGUGGAAUAGCCUUCCGAAAGGAAGAUUAAUACCGCAUAAUGUUGAAAGAUGGCAUCAUCAUUCAACCAAAGGAGCAAUCCGCUAUGAGAUGGACCCGCGGCGCAUUAGCUAGUUGGUGGGGUAACGGCCUACCAAGGCGACGAUGCGUAGCCGACCUGAGAGGGUGAUCGGCCACAUUGGGACUGAGACACGGCCCAGACUCCUACGGGAGGCAGCAGUGGGGAAUAUUGCACAAUGGGGGAAACCCUGAUGCAGCAACGCCGCGUGAGUGAUGAAGGUUUUCGGAUCGUAAAGCUCUGUCUUUGGGGAAGAUAAUGACGGUACCCAAGGAGGAAGCCACGGCUAACUACGUGCCAGCAGCCGCGGUAAUACGUAGGUGGCGAGCGUUAUCCGGAUUUACUGGGCGUAAAGGGAGCGUAGGCGGAUGAUUAAGUGGGAUGUGAAAUACCCGGGCUCAACUUGGGUGCUGCAUUCCAAACUGGUUAUCUAGAGUGCAGGAGAGGAGAGUGGAAUUCCUAGUGUAGCGGUGGAAUGCGUAGAGAUUAGGAAGAACACCAGUGGCGAAGGCGACUCUCUGGACUGUAACUGACGCUGAGGCUCGAAAGCGUGGGGAGCAAACAGGAUUAGAUACCCCUGGUAGUCCACGCCGUAAACGAUGAAUACUAGGUGUGGGGGUUUCAACACCUCCGUGCCGCCGCUAACGCAUUAAGUAUUCCGCCUGGGGAGUACGGUCGCAAGAUUAAAACUCAAAGGAAUUGACGGGGACCCGCACAAGUAGCGGAGCAUGUGGUUUAAUUCGAAGCAACGCGAAGAACCUUACCUACACUUGACAUCCCUUGCAUUACUCUUAAUCGAGGAAAUCCCUUCGGGGACAAGGUGACAGGUGGCGCAUGGUUGUCGUCAGCUCGUGUCGUGAGAUGUUGGGUUAAGUCCCGCAACGAGCGCAACCCUUGUCGUUAGUUACUACCAUUAAGUUGAGGACUCUAGCGAGACUGCCUGGGUUAACCAGGAGGAAGGUGGGGAUGACGUCAAAUCAUCAUGCCCCUUAUGUGUAGGGCUACACACGUGCUACAAUGGCUGGUACAGAGAGAUGCAAUACCGCGAGGUGGAGCCAAACUUAAAAACCAGUCUCAGUUCGGAUUGUAGGCUGAAACUCGCCUACAUGAAGCUGGAGUUACUAGUAAUCGCGAAUCAGAAUGUCGCGGUGAAUACGUUCCCGGGUCUUGUACACACCGCCCGUCACACCAUGAGAGUUGGCAAUACCCGAAGUCCGUGAGCUAACCGCAAGGAGGCAGCGGCCGAAGGUAGGGUCAGCGAUUGG
rnacentral:rRNA from 1 species